CCAUGAACGUGUAAUUACAGCAGGAUACGAACACAAGGAAAUAUAAUAUGUUUAUAAACAUUAGUUAUAUUACUCAUUCAUUUCUUACAGCCAACACAGAGGAAGAAGAUGAUGAUACGGAGAACCUAAUACAAAGAUAGGUAAGUUGUUCAUUUUUCUACAGAUGAAGAGAAGUAUCAACAUCAGAAUGAUCAAAAUUUCUCGAUGUGCUUGGAGUGGCAGCACCAUUAGGCCAUAAGCUUGCCGAGGCUGGACUGGUCGUGGCUUGGAAAUCGGCAUGCUUUCCCUGAGAGCUAAGUCCUAGGGAGAGUGAGUGAUCCUCAAGAGCUGGCCUAUGACUAUGAGGCAGAAUCGUCUCUUGCGGGAAAGAUGGUUUGUUACGGUCAAAACGCAUAGCCAAAGCUGCCUGAUCGGAAUCCGAAAACAGUUUUAACAGAUCUUUCUCCUCUCUCUUUUCUCUCUCUCUCUCAAGCUGUCUAAACCUCUCUUGCAAAAGGGCAAUAGAGGAGCUGACCGCGGUGGAAUCACCACUCUGCCUACCCAUUAGAGGAGAGCCUAACUGCUGGAGAUUACCUGAUAGGUGAGAGCUAUUCUUGGUUUCUCGAGGGCUACAUUUGCUUAUAUAUACAUAUAUGUAUAUAUAGUAAGCAGUCGUGUCCUGUUCAUCACCAAUUUAUGCUUUUUUUCUGUUUUCUUAUUGAUUAUAGCUGAUGUAAUAUAAUUGGGAAUCGGCUACUAUUCAAGAUUAUCCAAGAAGAAGAGUUUGAAAAGCUAGUCUAGAGAGGGCUGGGUUGGUGGAUGUGUAGGCAAAAGGACUUUUUGAAAGAAGAUGAGUGCGAAAGCUAAACUCCAAAACAAAAUGGAGUGUAGCACUUGGAAGUUGCUUUGAGGAGAAUAAACGAUUAGGUAAUGCAGUGUCGGCUUCAAAGAAUAUGGUGCAUUUAUAUGAUGUGUUUUGAGAAGAUAUCAUAUUAUUA
rnacentral:lncRNA from 1 species